rnacentral:rRNA from 1 species
AACGAACGCUGGCGGCAUGCCUAACACAUGCAAGUCGAACGAGACCUUCGGGUAUCGUGGCGCACGGGUGCGUAACGCGGGGGAACCUGCCCUUACGUUAGCAAUAACUCCCCGUAAGGGGUGCUAAUUCCGGAUAGUGUCUUCGACCCCAAGAUUUAUCGACUUUUGCUGGGCGCGCGUGGGAUUAGCUAGUUAGGAGGGUAAAAGCCUACCAAGACGACGACCCAUAGCUGGUCUGAGGGGAUGAUCAGCCACCCUGGGACUGGGACACGGACCAGAAUCGUACGGUAGGCAGCAGUGGGGAAUAUUGGACAGUGAGGGAAAGUCUGAUACAGCAGUGCCGUGUGAUUGAUGAAGGCCUUAGGGUUGUAAAGCCCUUUUACCCGGGAUGAUAAUGACAGUACCGGGAGAAUAAGCUCCGGCUAACUCCGUG